rnacentral:tRNA from 1 species
GGCGCCGUAGUUUAGUGGCUAGAACGCGGGUCUCAUGAGCCCGAGGUCGGGAGUUCAACUCUCCUCGGCGCCA